GUGCUCCCUUCGGCAGCACAUAUACUAGAAUUAGAACAACACAGAGAUAAGCAUGGUUGCUGUGCAAGAAUGACAUGUAAAUCUGUGAAGUGUCCCGUAUUUUU